CCGAGAAGUGUAACUUGUACGCGAGUCAAAGGGUGGAAAACCCCAUGGCGAAAUGAAAGUAAAGGUCGGUUAACCGGCUGACAUGGGAUCCGUUUUUCGAAACGGCGCACCAUGGCCCUGUCUCGUCUGCAUGCAGAUGGGCAGCGGUAGAGCGUACAGGUUGCGACCCGAAAGAUGGUGAACUAUGCCUGAGCAGGACGAAGUCAGAGGAAACUCUGAUGGAAGUCCGUAUCGGUUCUGACGUGCAAAUCGAUCGAUAGACUUGGGUA
rnacentral:rRNA from 1 species